GCAAGUCGAACGGAAACAGGACGCUGUGAUCUCUUCGGAGUGAACUUGUCGCUGUCGAGUGGCGGACGGGUGAGUAAUGCAUAGGAAUUUGCCUUGGAGUGGGGGAUAGCCCGGAGAAAUCCGGAUUAAUACCGCAUGCGCUCUACGGAGCAAAGCGGGCCUCUGAUUUAAGCUCGCGCUUUGAGAUAAGCCUAUGUCGGAUUAGCUUGUUGGUAGGGUAAUGGCCUACCAAGGCGACGAUCCGUAGCUGGUUUGAGAGGAUGAUC
rnacentral:rRNA from 1 species